rnacentral:rRNA from 1 species
AACGAACGCUGGCGGCAUGCCUAACACAUGCAAGUCGAACGAUGCCUUCGGGCAUAGUGGCGCACGGGUGCGUAACGCGUGGGAAUCUGCCUUUCGGUUCGGAAUAACUCAGGGAAACUUGAGCUAAUACCGGAUAACGUCGCAAGACCAAAGAUUUAUCACCGAAAGAUGAGCCCGCGUAGGAUUAGCUUGUUGGUGAGGUAAAGGCUCACCAAGGCGACGAUCCUUAGCUGGUCUGAGAGGAUGAUCAGCCACACUGGGACUGAGACACGGCCCAGACUCCUACGGGAGGCAGCAGUGGGGAAUAUUGGACAAUGGGCGAAAGCCUGAUCCAGCAAUGCCGCGUGAGUGAUGAAGGCCUUAGGGUUGUAAAGCUCUUUUACCCGGGAAGAUAAUGACGGUACCGGGAGAAUAAGCCCCGGCUAACUCCGUG